rnacentral:rRNA from 1 species
UUAAUGUAUCGGAACGUACCUUUCAGUGGGGGAUAACGUAGCGAAAGUUACGCUAAUACCGCAUAUUCUGUGAGCAGGAAAGCAGGGGAUCGCAAGACCUUGCGCUGAUUGAGCGGCCGAUAUCAGAUUAGCUAGUUGGUGAGGUAAAGGCUCACCAAGGCGACGAUCUGUAGCGGGUCUGAGAGGAUGAUCCGCCACACUGGAACUGAGACACGGUCCAGACUCCUACGGGAGGCAGCAGUGGGGAAUUUUGGACAAUGGGGGCAACCCUGAUCCAGCCAUGCCGCGUGAGUGAAGAAGGCCUUCGGGUUGUAAAGCUCUUUCAGCCGGGAAGAAAACGCAUGGGUUAAUACCCUGUGUGGAUGACGGUACCGGAAUAAGAAGCACCGGCUAACUACGUGCCAGCAGCCGCGGUAAUACGUAGGGUGCGAGCGUUAAUCGGAAUUACUGGGCGUAAAGCGUGCGCAGGCGGUUUGUUAAGAUAGGCGUGAAAUCCCCGGGCUCAACCUGGGAACUGCGUUUAUGACUGGCAGGCUAGAGUAUGGCAGAGGGGGGUGGAAUUCCACGUGUAGCAGUGAAAUGCGUAGAGAUGUGGAGGAACACCGAUGGCGAAGGCAGCCCCCUGGGCCAAUACUGACGCUCAUGCACGAAAGCGUGGGUAGCAAACAGGAUUAGAUACCCUGGUAGUCCACGCCCUAAACGAUGUCAACUAGGUGUUGGGUGGGUAAAACCAUUUAGUACCGGAGCUAACGCGUGAAGUUGACCGCCUGGGGAGUACGGCCGCAAGGUUAAAACUCAAAGGAAUUGACGGGGACCCGCACAAGCGGUGGAUGAUGUGGAUUAAUUCGAUGCAACGCGAAAAACCUUACCUACCCUUGACAUGUCCAGAAGCUCUUAGAGAUUUGAGUGUGCCCGAAAGGGAACUGGAACACAGGUGCUGCAUGGCUGUCGUCAGCUCGUGUCGUGAGAUGUUGGGUUAAGUCCCGCACCGAGCGCAACCCUUGUCGUUAAUUGCCAUCAUUUAGUUGGGCACUUUAACGAGACUGCCGGUGACAAACCGGAGGAAGGUGGGGAUGACGUCAAGUCCUCAUGGCCCUUAUGGGUAGGGCUUCACACGUCAUACAAUGGUCGGUACAAAGGGUUGCCAACCCGCGAGGGGGAGCUAAUCCCAGAAAGCCGAUCGUAGUCCGGAUCGUAGGCUGCAACUCGCCUGCGUGAAGUCGGAAUCGCUAGUAAUCGUGGAUCAGCAUGUCACGGUGAAUACGUUCCCGGGUCUUGUACACACCGCCCGUCACACCAUGGGAGCGGGUUCCGCCAGAAGUAGGUAGCCUAACCGCAAGGAGGGCGCUUACCACGGCGGGGUUCGUGACUGGGGUGAAGUCGAACAAGGUA